rnacentral:rRNA from 1 species
UAAUACGGAGGAUCCGAGCGUUAUCCGGAUUUACUGGGUUUAAAGGGUGCGUAGGCGGGUGGCUCAGUCGGCGGUGAAAUGCAGCGGCUCAACCGUUGCCCUGCCGUCGAAACUGGCCGCCUUGAAUUCGGUCGAGGCCGGCGGAAUGCGCGGUGUAGCGGUGAAAUGCUUAGAUAUCGCGCGGAACGCCGAUUGCGGAGGCAGCUGGCUGGACCGAGAUUGACGCUGAUGCACGACAGCGUGGGGAUCGAACAGG